rnacentral:rRNA from 1 species
UACAGAGGUCUCAAGCGUUGUUCGGAUUCAUUGGGCGUAAAGGGUGCGUAGGCGGCGCGGUAAGUCGGGUGUGAAAUCUCGGGGCUUAACUCCGAAACUGCAUUCGAUACUGCCGUGCUUGAGGACUGGAGAGGAGACUGGAAUUUACGGUGUAGCAGUGAAAUGCGUAGAGAUCGUAAGGAAGACCAGUGGCGAAGGCGGGUCUCUGGACAGUUCCUGACGCUGAGGCACGAAGGCCAGGGGAGCAAACGGGG